rnacentral:rRNA from 1 species
AUGUUGUCUCGUCAGGCAUGGAGGUUGAUACAACAUCCCAACUCGCUCUGCGCUAAGAUCUUGAAGGCCAAGUACUACCUUGAUGGCCGGCUGCUUGAGGCCCAACCUGCUGCGGGCAUCUCCUACGCUUGGCGGAGCUUGCUUCACGGAGCACAACUAGUACGGGAGGGUUGCAUUUGGAGGAUUGGAGAUGGUGCAGAGAUUAACAUAUGGACGGAUCCUUGGAUCCCCCGGCCAUGGUCAAGAACCGUGAUCACACCUCGCAGACAAUGCCUCCUUCAGCGUGUUAGUGAACUUAUUGAUCCAUAUUCAGCCACAUGGGAUGAGCAGUUGGUUCGAGACACGUUUUGGCCUGAUGAUGUGGCACAUAUUCUCCAUAUCCCUCUCAGAGAUGGUGCCCAAGACUUCAUGGCGUGGCAGUAUGAUACUAAAGGAGCCCACUCGGUGAAGAGUGCGUAUAAGCUAUAUGUUCAGCUUGAGAAAACACGAAAGGACGGAGGUGUUGGAGCGAGCUCCACAGUUCCUGGCAAUCUGAAUAGCACAACAGACGACUCCUGGAAGAGAAUUUGGAAGCUCCCUUGCCCAAGGAACAUACAAAUGUUCGCAUGGAGGAUUAAACAUGAAUACCUUGUGCUGCGCACUACAGUUGCACGUCGAGGGAUUCCCAUUGGAGACACAAAAUGCUUAUUCUGCAGCAGAGGAGAGGAGGAUGGGGCUCACCUGUUUAUCAAAUGCAAGUUUGUAAAGGAGGUUUGGCGGGAUCUUGCCCUGGAAAAGGAAAGGAGUGAUCUAGAGAAGAUUGAGGGCGUGCAUGCAAUGUUUGACUACAUUUGGGGGCUGCAUGAAAACAAAAGAUUGCAUAUUCUUACCUCCUGGUGGCUAUGGUGGGCCAACAGAAAUAAGGCGAGGGAGGGUGAGCUACCCCUCUCACCAGCGAAGGUGGCUAGAAGAACAAGAGGCAGUGUCCUCGAGUACGUGGAGAUCUUUUCCUCCAAGGGCCAAGUGCCGAAACCUGAGAAGUGGCGGCCACCAUGUGAAGACGUCUACAAGAUCAAUGUGGAUGGCUCGAGCGUGCCGGGACAGCAGCACUCAGGAUGGGGUAUUGCAGUGAGGGUGGCGGAUGGAUCUCUGGUGCACGCGCGAGCGGGAAGACAGGAACACACGGCGGAUGCAUUUGCAGCUGAGGUUUCCGCCAUGGGUCAUGCAAUCUCAACCGCAGCCGAACUAGGUAUGAUGGUGGAGUUUGAAACGGACUCUCAACUGCUGGCUGAAGCCCUGGAUGCUCGAAAGGUGGACUCUUCGGCAUAUGCCGUCACUCUUGACGACAUGAAAUACCAACUCAAGUUAUGGUUUUCCUUUUUUUCAAUCUCUGUCUGUAGACGAACGGCAAACUCUGUGGCACACGAGCUCGCCAAUAUUGGUCGUCUAUGCGAACCUGACCAAUGUUUGGUCUGA